CGCACUCGCACCCACGCCUCGGAGACCCGGGGUUGGAACAUCCCCGACGGCGAGGAUGCUGCCGGGGCUGGAUCUGGGCGCCACAGACCUUAGCCUGGCUGCGGAGGCCCAGGCCCGGGCCCUUUGAAGUCGCUUCUAGGGGCGGUGCCCCAGCCGGAGGGGAGAUGGGGCCUCGCCUCGCUCGGAAACCUCCUAGGGUCCCAGCAGCCACACCUGCCCCGCCCCUCAGGGUAGGAGCCUUCUGCACCCUGAGCGAUCAGCUCCGAACCCUGACGUGAGAUUUGGGUCAGGAACGCAGACGCAGGACCGUACCAUACAAAGGCCUCCCUGCUUCCCGGGGGACUUUCUGCCAGCUCCUUGCAGGCCGCCUCCUCCUCCUUUGCAAGGACCUUUGCUUCCCAUGCUUGCUGAGAAAGGAGAGGACUGCAGCAUGGCGGUGCAGGUGGGAGGGGUGAAGGUAUGAGCAGUCCUUUGCUAGGGGCCCUCUCUCCCCGGGUCUCUUCCUCCACGCCCAACCUCUCUGCUGCAGGAAUGCCUUUGAACAGCGUCUGCCGGGGCCACAGCGCAGAUGCCCUGCGCUUCUCCAGACCCCGAGGAGGCCCUUCAUUCAGCCAGUGCCUUGAUAGCCACGUGUGCCCCCUUAGCCGAGAUCUGGGAAGGACCCCCCCCUCCCCCCCGCCCGGGAUGCUCACAGGUUGUGGGGCCAGACGGGCUUCCUCUGCCCCAAGGAAGAGGGCUGCUUGGAGAGGUACAGCCUGCGGCAGGCCAAGGAAGGGGUAGGUGCUUGGGGCUGGACCGUGGAGGAGAGAAACGUGAGGGAUUCGUGCAGCAGUAGCGUGCCCAGGGUGCUGGCGGGGUGCAUGUCGGUGUGUCUGGAUCCGCAGAGUACCAGCCGUGGGCCUCACUGCGGUGUUGGGGGAGGUUUCUGCUCUGCCCCCUCAGGACGGAGGUGGAAGAAUGCAGAGUUGGACUGUGCACAGUCUGAGGUCCACAGGCCAGAGGCUCAAGGUGUGGAGUAGGGUGACCCCCACUGACCAUUGCUGUCCCAAGGGUUGAGUGUACAGCAUGGCUUGUGGUCAGCCACUCUCAUCUGGACUCUGGGAUCCAUAGCAAAUGUCCAAAACUUUGCUGGGGAAAAGGGAGGAGGUUCUCGAGAGGCUGUGGAAGUUCCCACGCAGUGCAUCUGGGAGAGGAUUCCUGGGACUGCUCAGACACUGCUUGGUUCUCCCAAUUUACACAUCUCCAGGUGCCACCCCCACUCCCUGAAAUCCCCUCACUACAUUUACCUUUGCUCCUCCUACGUAUGCCUCUUCUAACCUGUCAGCCUCUGAGCAGUGUAAUCUAUACCCACAGGUGGCCCGCACACAGUUGGAGCUGGGCAUGGGACAAGGAAGCAGGGGUCCAGAACCUGGUGUAUAGUCUUGGCAUCUUGGCAGGAUGUCCAGGUCCAGGCUCAUGUCGGCUCUUGGCACUGUCCCUGACUGAAGAGAACAGCAGGGGCCCACCUGUGACGCGCCCCCUGUAGGGGUUCAGGCUGCGCUCCUGAAGGCUGAAGGAGCAGUCAUGUGAAUUGAGACCACCGAGAGGACUCCAGUCAGACUGCGCGAGCAUUCACGAGGUUAGUGGAAGGGUAGAUUUGCCUGAGGAAGAGUGAAGCAGUACCUCUCCACAUGAGAAGUCAGACAGCUACAAGAGAAAGGAGAACUUCUGUGUGUUCAAAGUUAAGAAGCCAUCUCAUCUCCAGGAAAAGAAAGAAAAUGGAGCGUUGGGGCUUGAGGUGCACUGAAUGUUGGAAAGGCCUGGCCAGCAUUUUGGGACCAGCAGGCCCUGGGAAGUAGCCGUGUUUUGGAUUAAGACAAGUUGACUACAAAGAGCUGUGACAUUGAGCUUUGAAGCAUGAAGUAUUGUUGGCCCGGAGAAGGAGCACAUGCAUUUCCCUCAGAGAACCAUGGUGUUCCAGAGCCAGAGAGAGAUGGAACAUUUCCAUGAGGCCUUGUGAACAUCUAUUAUCCUAACUCCAAUAAUAGUCCUUUUAAGAAAAUGGCAUGGCCAUCUAGUGGGUGAAUAUAGCAAAUUGGCUUCCAUAGUAUGUCAAAACACUAUUGCCAGUUUGGGGAUUUUUUCCCUGGAAUGAUAAGCUUAUCUUAACCUUAUAAAAUCUAAUGAUUAUUAGACUAAAAAGAGAAAAGGAACCUUGUGAUUAUCUCAAAAGGAAUUUGAUAAAAUUUAUCAGCCGUUCACAGUAAGACAGUUGGAAAGGCAUGGAAGAAGGAAAUGUCUGUAACAUUUUAAGGAAUGUGUGUAAAAAACCAAAGCUAGUACUGGGCUUAACUGCCUAGAAAGUUCCAUUGUGAGAAUCUAAACAAUGUCCCUUUCACUGCUAUUGUUCAGUGUUGCUCUGAAGGUCCUCACUAGGACAAUAACUUGAAAACAAGAAAUAAGGGUAAGUAAAGGAAUUAAGUAGUAAUACC